AACGAACGCUGGCGGCGUGUUUAAGACAUGCAAGUCGCACGGGAUAAGACGUGUAGUAAUACUUGUUUUAUUUAGUGGCGCACGGGUGAGUAACACGUGAAUUACAUGCCCUAUUGUGGGGAAUAGCCCAGGGAAACUUGGAUUAAUACCCCAUGGUAUCGAAAGAUUAAAGGUGGCCGCAAGGCUGUCGCUAUAGGAUUGGUUCGCGCCCUAUCAGCUUGUUGGUGAGGUAACGGCUCACCAAGGCAAUGACGGGUACCUGGUCUGAGAGGACGAUCAGGCACACUGGAACUGAGACACGGUCCAGACACCUACGGGUGGCAGCAGUCGAAAAUAAUUCACAAUGGGGGCAACCCUGAUGGUGCAACGCCGCGUGGAGGAUGACGGUCUUCGGAUUGUAAACUCCUGUCAUCUGGGAGAAAGACCUGACGGUAAAUAGCCGGCAGGGUUGAUAGUACCAGAAGAGGAAGGGACGGCUAACUUCGUGCCAGCAGCCGCCGUAA
rnacentral:rRNA from 1 species